GGCCCAAAUUUGAAGUAGAGUGGAUUAGGAGGAUCAUCUGACCCUACUAAACUACACUACUUCGAGUUUGUGCCC
rfam:Haemonchus contortus, ISE/inbred ISE, WGS project CAVP01000000 data, contig: Hcontortus_29661